rnacentral:rRNA from 1 species
UUGUCUCAAAGAUUAAGCCAUGCAUGUCUCAGUACAAGCCAAAUUAAGGUGAAACCGCGAAAGGCUCAUUAAAUCAGUUAUGGUUCCUUAGAUCGUACCCACAUUUACUUGGAUAACUGUGGUAAUUCUAGAGCUAAUACAUGCAAACAGAGCUCCAACCGGAGACGGAAGGAGCGCUUUUAUUAGAUCAAAACCAAUCGGUAGUGAUUUUACAAUCAUUAUCGUAUAAUAUGGUGACUCUGAAUAACUUUAAGCUGAUCGCACGGUCUCGCACCGGCGACGCAUCUUUCAAAUGUCUGCCUUAUCAACUUUCGAUGGUAGGUUCUGCGCCUACCAUGGUUGUAACGGGUAACGGGGAAUCAGGGUUCGAUUCCGGAGAGGGAGCCUGAGAAACGGCUACCACAUCCAAGGAAGGCAGCAGGCGCGCAAAUUACCCACUCCCGGCACGGGGAGGUAGUGACGAAAAAUAACGAUACGGGACUCAUCCGAGGCCCCGUAAUCGGAAUGAGUACACUCUAAACCCUUUAACGAGGAUCAAUUGGAGGGCAAGUCUGGUGCCAGCAGCCGCGGUAAUUCCAGCUCCAAUAGCGUAUAUUAAAGUUGUUGCGGUUAAAAAGCUCGUAGUCGAAUCUGUGUUUCGCGCCGACGGUUCAUCGUUCGCGGUGUCAACUGUCGUGCCGCGAAACGUCCUGUCGGUGGGCUUAGCUCGCAAGGGCGGCCCAACUCAAUCCCGCCGCGGUGCUCUUCAUUGAGUGUCGAGGUGGGCCGGCACGUUUACUUUGAACAAAUUAGAGUGCUUAAAGCAGGCUAAAAUUUUGCCUGAAUACUGUGUGCAUGGAAUAAUGGAAUAGGACCUCGGUUCUAUUUUGUUGGUUUUCGGAACCCCGAGGUAAUGAUUAAUAGGAACGGAUGGGGGCAUUCGUAUUGCGACGUUAGAGGUGAAAUUUCUUUGGAU